rnacentral:rRNA from 1 species
GUAGUCUGCAACCCGACUACAUGAAGCCGGAAUCGCUAGUAAUCGCGGAUCAGAAUGCCGCGGUGAAUACGUUCCCGGGUCUUGUACACACCGCCCGUCACACCAUGGGAGUUGGAAAUGCCCGAAGUCAGUGGCCCAACCGGAAGGGGGGAGCUGCCGAAGGCAGGUUCGAUGACUGGGGUGAAGUCGUAACAAGGUACC